rnacentral:rRNA from 1 species
UGCGUAGGCGGUUUGGUAAGUCUGAUGUGAAAUCUAUGGGCUCAACUCAUAGUCUGCAUCGGAAACUGCCGGGCUUGAGUGUGGGAGAGGUGAGUGGAAUUCCUGGUGUAGCGGUGAAAUGCGUAGAUAUCAGGAGGAACACCUGUGGCGAAAGCGGCUCACUGGACCAUAACUGACGCUGAUGCACGAAAGCUAGGGGAGCAAACAGGAUUAGAUACCCUGGUAGUCCUAGCCCUAAACGAUGACUGCUUGGUGUGACGGGUACCCAAUCCCGCCGUGCCGUAGCUAACGCGUUAAGCAGUCCGCCUGGGGAGUACGGUCGCAAGGCUGAA